CGUGGCUAACCUGCCCUUAGGAUCGGAAUACCCCCGGGAAACUGGGGCUAAUUCUCAAUAGGUGAAGAACUCUGGAAUGAGUCUUCACUGAAAAGGCGCUAGAGUUAUGCUCUUUGGCGCCGCCCAAGGAUGGGGCCGCGACCGAUCAGGUUGUUGGUGAGGUAAUGGCUCACCAAGCCUUUUACCGGUGCGGGCCGUGGGAGCGGGAGCCCGGAGAUGGGCACUGAGACAAGGGCCCAGGCCCUACGGGGCGCAGCAGUCGCGAAAACUUUGCAAUAAGCGAAAGCUUGACAGGGCUAUCCCGAGUGCCAUCCGCUGAGGAAGGCUUUUACCCAGUCUAGAACGCUGGGGGAAUAAGGAGAGGGCAAGUCUGGUGUCAGCCGCCGCGGUAAUACCAGCUCUCCGAGUGGUGUGGAUGUUUAUUGGGCCUAAAGCAUCCGUAGCUGGCUAGGUUAGUCCCCUGUUAAAUCCACCGAAUUAAUCGUUGGAUUGCGGGGGAUACUGCUUGGCUAGGGGACGAGAGAGGCAGACGGUAUUUCCGGGGUAGGGGUGAAAUCCUAUAAUCCCGGGAAGACCACCAGUGGCGAAGGCUGUCUGCUAGAACGCGCCCGACGGCGAGGGAUGAAAGCUGGGGGAGCGAACCGGAUUAGAUACCCGGGUAGUCCCAGCUGU
rnacentral:rRNA from 1 species